CGUGCGGGCCGGGCCCCUCUGGCGCGCCGUAUGAUCUGGCCGGGAUCCCGGCAGUAUCUGUGGCGCGUGAUGUCGGACCGCAUCG
rfam:Novosphingobium malaysiense strain MTSC 273 Contig2, whole genome shotgun sequence.